rnacentral:rRNA from 1 species
AGCGAACGCUGGCGGCAGGCUUAACACAUGCAAGUCGAGCGGGCACCUUCGGGUGUCAGCGGCAGACGGGUGAGUAACACGUGGGAACGUACCCUUUGGUUCGGAACAACUCUGGGAAACUGGAGCUAAUACCGGAUACGCCCUUAUGGGGAAAGGUUUACCGCCGAAGGAUCGGCCCGCGUCUGAUUAGCUAGUUGGUGAGGUAACGGCUCACCAAGGCGACGAUCAGUAGCUGGUCUGAGAGGAUGAUCAGCCACACUGGGACUGAGACACGGCCCAGACUCCUACGGGAGGCAGCAGUGGGGAAUAUUGGACAAUGGGCGCAAGCCUGAUCCGACG